rnacentral:rRNA from 1 species
UAACCUGCCCAAGAGACUGGGAUAACACCUGGAAACAGAUGCUAAUACCGGAUAACAACACUAGACGCAUGUCUAGAGUUUAAAAGAUGGUUCUGCUAUCACUCUUGGAUGGACCUGCGGUGCAUUAGCUAGUUGGUAAGGUAACGGCUUACCAAGGGCAAUGAUGCAUAGCCGAGUUGAGGAGACUGAUCGGCCCACAUUGGGACUGAGACACGGCCCAAACUCCUACGGAAGGCAGCAG